UAUUUAUUAUUUUUGUUGGGGUUUUACUUCAUUCAGUUCAGAAUAUUUUAACCUCAGAGAUGCAAGAGCUGAAUUAUUCAACGGAAGACGCAGCUCGGGGAGUUGACCGCGAUCGACAGCCGAAGGAAAGAGCUUGCAACAGCUGAGCGCGCACGCCCGGGAUGGCAAGGCAUUCAACCGGCCGCGGGCGGUGCCAGCCCGGGCUCCGCAGGUAUUUGAAAAUGUUACAUCAUCAGGUUAAACAUUAAACUCCUUGGACAUCCCUUGAAAAAGAAAAAUUCAUUUCAUUAAUCCUCAUUAUAACUGUUCUUUUGCCAUUGCACUUAGAAUAUUCUUUUUGUGCCAUUUAAUUGAUUAUAAUUGAAGUUUAAAUAAAAAUGGCUUUUUGGAAAAACAAGUUUGAUUUUACAAGGUAUGUCAGUAGCAUCUGGAAUGCUACCAAUGAAAAAGAAUUUGUCAAAGAAGUUUAAGUGUUUAAUGUAACUGAAUUAUACACAAAUUUCGAAGGUUGAUAAACAAAUAAAAUAUUUCAAAUUCACCUUUUUAAAUUUAUUCUUCUUUUGAUGCAAAACACAUGUCCUUUACAAUUAGAAUUCUCCCAAAAACGUUCAUUAAAUUGACCAAUCACAGAAAAGCACUGCAAAUACCUAUUUUUGGCUCCUCACAGUGAGGCUAAUUCUGUCCAAAAAUACAUUGAAAAAUAUUUUCUUAGUCUUUUCAGAUAGGCUGGCCGAAAUCAUACGAUAACUUUACCGUCUGGCGUGAGAAACAACUGCUGCAGUGUUUCCCACCAUAAGAAAACAUAAAGAAAAUGCCGGAGUGCCUCUACAAACACCAAAAAGGAAUAAAAUAUUGGCGCCAAUCCAUCACACAUCUGUCUGCUGUGUCUUUUUUACACCAACCGGAGCACCAUGUUUUAGAAAAACUGUUAGAGCAUUAUAUAAAUAAAAAUGUAAAAUACAAAUAUAAAAACAAUAUUCAAAAUGAAUAAAUACUUAAAGGACAUUUACACAAAAUAUUAGGCAAAUAAGCAAUGUGACAGCUAGUAAAAACACAGUAUGUUAAUACACCAUAUAACACAGAAAUACAAGGUAAUGUACCAUAAAGCACCAAAGAAACAAAAUAAUGAAAUGAUUUUGAAUAUUUAUUCAAAUCUCAAUCCAUACUACAAAAAAGUACGUACUAAAUAUAUAGAUUUUUUUUUAAUAUUGCAAGUAUUAUUAGUAACUAAUUAUUACAUAAUGAAAUUGGGACAUUUUUCAAAUGUACAUUAACUUCCUGAUUUAUUUGUAUUGUUCCCAAUAGUUUGAUGUGCUUAUUACGAAUUAUUAUAUUGUAAAAGGGCAUCAUGUAUCAGACAAAAUGACACUGUUUUAGUGAAGUUAGUGUCAUUGAACAAGUGUCGUAUAAAUUGAAAAUAAUGCUAUCUUUAUGAAUAAACAAUAGUUCAUAAAAAAUUAAAAACAAUGACACUAAAAUAUCAUGUUUUAAAAAUAAACUUGGCGUAAAUUUAAACCAUGGAAUUUGGUCUCAAAUAUUGCAAAUAGGUAUACAUUAGUUAACAUAGACCUAAGAGUUAUUCCAUAGCUGUUUAUUACCCCCCUUAUGUACCUUGAACAGAAAAAAGACAUCCUAUUCAGACUAAA